AACGCUAGCUACAGGCUUAACACAUGCAAGUCGAGGGGCAGCAUUGGAGUAGCAAUACUUCAGAUGGCGACCGGCGCACGGGUGAGUAACACGUAUCCAACCUGCCGCUUACUCGGGGAUAGCCUUUCGAAAGAAAGAUUAAUACCCGAUGGUAUAAAGAGUUCGCAUGUUCUCUUUAUUAAAGAAUUUCGGUAAGCGAUGGGGAUGCGUUCCAUUAGAUAGUUGGCGGGGUAACGGCCCACCAAGUCUACGAUGGAUAGGGGUUCUGAGAGGAAGGUCCCCCGCAUUGGAACUGAGACACGGUCCAAACUCCUACGGGAGGCAGCAGUGAGGAAUAUUGGUCAAUGGACGAGAGUCUGAACCAGCCAAGUAGCGUGAAGGAUGACUGCCCUAUGGGUUGUAAACUUCUUUUAUAAGGGAAUAAAGUGAGGGACGUGUCCCUUUUUGUAUGUACCUUAUGAAUAAGGAUCGGCUAACUCCGUGCCAGCAGCCGCGGUAAUACGGAGGAUCCAAGCGUUAUCCGGAUUUAUUGGGUUUAAAGGGAGCGUAGGUUGACAUAUAAGUCAGCUGUGAAAGUUUACGGCUCAACCGUGAAAUUGCAGUUGAUACUGUAUGUCUUGAGUGUACAAGAGGUGGGCGGAAUUCGUGGUGUAGCGGUGAAAUGCUUAGAUAUCACGAAGAACUCCAAUUGCGAAGGCAGCUCACUGGGGUACAACUGACACUGAGGCUCGAAAGUGUGGGUAUCAAACAGGAUUAGAUACCCUGGUAGUCCACACAGUAAACGAUGAAUACUCGCUGUUUGCGAUAUACAGUAAGCGGCCAAGCGAAAGCAUUAAGUAUUCCACCUGGGGAGUACGCCGGCAACGGUGAAACUCAAAGGAAUUGACGGGGGCCCGCACAAGCGGAGGAACAUGUGGCUUAAUUCGAUGAUACGCGAGGAACCUUACCCGGGCUUGAAUUGCAGAGGAACAUAGUUGAAAGAUUAUGGCCGCAAGGUCUCUGUGAAGGUGCUGCAUGGUUGUCGUCAGCUCGUGCCGUGAGGUGUCGGCUUAAGUGCCAUAACGAGCGCAACCCUUAUCAUUAGUUACUAACAGGUCAUGCUGAGGACUCUAGUGAGACUGCCGUCGUAAGAUGUGAGGAAGGUGG
rnacentral:rRNA from 1 species